UACGGAGGGUGCGAGCGUUAUCCGGAAUCACUGGGCGUAAAGGGCGCGUAGGCGGUUUGUUAAGUCUGAUGUUAAAGACUGGGGCUCAACCCCGGCAUGGCGUUGGAUACUGGCAGGCUUGACGGUUGGAGAGGCGAGUGGAAUUGCCAGUGUAGCGGUGGAAUGCGUAGAUACUGGUAGGAACACCUAUUGCGAAGGCAGCUCGCUGGACAAUUCGUGACGCUGAGGCGCGAAAGUGUGGGGAGCAAACCGGAUUAGAUACCCGCGUA
rnacentral:rRNA from 1 species